GACGAACGCUGGCGGCGUGCUUAACACAUGCAAGUCGAACGGAAAGGCCCUGCUUUUGUGGGGUGCUGGAGAGGCGAACGGGUGAGUAACACGAGCGUCACCCGCCCCUGACUUAGGGAUAACUUAAGGAAACUGGGGCUAAUACCGGAUCGGAGCCCCCGCGGCAGGGUGGGGGUUGGAAAGUUUCGGCGGGUGGGGAUGGACUCGCGGCUUAUCAGCUUGUUGGUGGGGUAGUGGCUUACCAAGGCCUUGACGGGUAGCCGGCCUGAGAGGGUGACCGGCCACAUUGGGACUGAGACACGGCCCAGACUCCUACGGGAGGCAGCAGUGGGGAAUAUUGCGCAAUGGGCGGAAGCCUGAUGCAGCAACGCCGCGUGCGGGAUGACGGCCUUCGGGUUGUAAACCGCUUUCGCCUGGGACGAAGCGUGAGUGACGGUAAUUGGUGAAGAAGCACCGGCUAACUACGUG
rnacentral:rRNA from 1 species